rnacentral:rRNA from 1 species
AUUGAACGCUGGCGGCAGGCCUAACACAUGCAAGUCGACCGGUAACAGGAAGAAGCUUGCUUCUUUGCUGACGAGUGGCGGACGGGUGAGUAAUGUCUGGGAAACUGCCUGAUGGAGGGGGAUAACUACUGGAAACGGUAGCUAAUACCGCAUAACGUCGCAAGACCAAAAAGGGGGACCUUCGGGCCUCUUGCCAUCGGAUGUGCCCAGAUGGGAUUAGCUAGUAGGUGGGGUAACGGCUCACCUAGGCGACGAUCCCUAGCUGGUCUGAGAGGAUGACAAGCCACACUGGAACUGAGACACGGUCCAGACUCCUACGGGAGGCAGCAGUGGGGAAUAUUGCACAAUGGGCGCAAGCCUGAUGCAGCCAUGCCGCGUGUAUGAAGAAGGCCUUCGGGUUGUAAAGUACUUUCAGCGGGGAGGAAGGGAGUAAAGUUAAUACCUUUGCUCAUUGACGUUACCCGCAGAAGAAGCACCGGCUAACUCCGUG